GCCUUAUCCUCUAAUUGAAUCGAUCCCCAAUUCAGAUACGCAAACACCAUGACCUGAGGAGGCGCCGCCGCAAGGGCUUGCGAGCUCGCCGACGCGAGGGCUUGUGAGCUCGCCGAUGCGGAGCUCCUCCUCCACCGACCACCGCACCUUCGCCGCCGAUUGCCGCCGGUGCACAUCUUCCUCCUCCAGCUCGGGUCGAGCCGAGCAGAUCGCCGCCCCAUAGUCGCUUCCGACCAACUCCGACCGCCAUUCGACGUUUCCUUCCACGAGCACCUCCUCGAGCCCGGCCGAAUCGAGACCUCAAGCGCUCCCCCACUAGGCCCAUUCUCUGCUGCAGACUGAGCGCUGAUUCCGUCGCCAAGACCCCUCUCAAUCGCUCCUCGCUAAUCCCCUACAGCCCCAAGCAAACUGCAUCAGCUACACACGAGGUCGAGUUAGACCUACACAUCGUUGCAGCCAUCAUGAACAAGAGUUGGAUGAGAGCACUUAGGUAACUAGUUACAGAUAUGGAUACUAAACUGGGAACAUAUGAAAUGUUAAGUGAUUGAAAAUAACAGAUGGGAAUAUAUGAUCUUGUUGGUUCAUUUUCAAAUGCAA